rnacentral:lncRNA from 1 species
UUUGUAGGUAUGAAUGUACUGGGUUAGCUCGUUUCAGUGGAGCUGUGGGGUAGGUGUGCUUCUGAGAUCUUCGUGUCUUCUGUUCUGUAACAAUAAACCAGCUCAGUAGGCUGCAACGGCAUGUUGAGACAUUGCUCAGCGGAUGGCUUUAUUAGUGGCUUUCAUUGCAUUUUAAUAUGGGAGUGCAGCCCCGAUGAGGCUGCUGGAUGAGCAGUCUGUGUUCCAUCUUAAUGAACGGUGGCCGUGACUGCAGGCUGAUCGGGGGAGCAAUGCACUGAUGGAGCAGACAGCCUAGCAGGGAGCACUCUAUUCAGAGGGCUGCACCUUGUAACUUGGCUGGCCUUUUCUCUCUGCCAGAACAAAAGUGGGGUAUUUGUGAGAUUGUGACAGUUCCUGGAAUUUACUGCUUCAUGGCACUGCCCUUUUUUCCUUUUUUAGCUUGCCUAAGUUAGCUUAUUUUGUUAAGGGCUUUUUCUGGUUACUGUUCAUGUCUGCUCAUAGGCUCCACCUGCCUCUAUCUUGCUCUCUGGUGUGCCUUUCACUUCUGCUACCACUGAGUAUACCACUAAAUAUGACUGUACCUUGAUUUUCCUUUUAAUCAUUUCCUGCUGCUAAAUAUUGCUCCAUUGUUACUACAGGCACAGUAAGCCAGAAUGACAGGACUUUUUCCUCACCAAGUCACAGGGCCUCUCCUCCUUUCUCUUCCUUUUGAUUCUAACAGUAGGAAGGGCUUCUCAUCCUCCCUAGACAUUUCAUUGCUCUGGACAUUUGUUCAAAAUGGGCCUUUAAAUGUCACUUGUGAGGCUGUUAAAAUAGGCUGUGAGUGUCUAGUCUCUGCUCAUUGUAUUGAUCUUGACUAAUGCUCACCCCAUGUGUCUGUUAUCUGGUUUUGAAUCACUAUGGUCAGAAGGGACCUCUGGAGACCAUCUAGUCCACCCCCCCUGCUCAAGCAGGGUCACCUAGAGCAUGUUGCACAGGAUCACGUCCAGGAACCAGGUGCAUCAAAUAUACUGCGAGGUAGUGGAUGGGACUGACUAUAUACUGUGUGAGAAGGCUGAGGAACUCCUUGCAACAGAAUCUGUGAAUGCUAAAAGAUUGUGUGGAUUUAAAGAGCUGGGGGAAAAUGGAAGAAAAAUCUGUCAGGGUACAACUAAAUACAGUCACGAAGAGUUGAAAGCUAGAGCAGUGUUUUUAGGGAUUCAAUACUGCCUAUUCUUCUGUGCUCUUUAUCCCAUGUUUCAGGAAUUCAGGUGUUACGUUAUAAGCAUGUUUCAUCCCAUGGUUAACAAAGCUUUGCUCUGA